rnacentral:lncRNA from 1 species
CCCACAUGAUUUAAAAUUUUAAAUCUUUUCAAAAUUUGAAAUAAUUCAAAAUCUUUUAUAUUAGACACUUUAAACUAUGCAAUGGAUAAACGUACCUUUUAGAUUUGAACCUUCACUUAGUAUUGACAAGUACUCAUCUGAGGGCCUAUUAGUAGACUAAGCCUUAAAUCCAGCCGGUGAAUCAGAUUUGCACAAGUCACACGUAUAGUACAUAUUAGUAAUGUGUUCCAAGCGAAUAACGCUUUUAUGGCCAUGUGUUGGCAUCUCUUCAUGUGUGCUUUAGGGAAUAGCCCAUUUUUCAUAGCCGUGGCCUUACGACUUCACACAUAUAGUAGGUUCUCAAAGGAUACUUGCAAGGUAGUACCCUACCACAUGGAUCUCGAAACCAUUUAGAGUUGAGCUCUUCCUGAAUUCUUUGCAUUUAUGGAGCACUAUCAUCAUAGGGUAGGGAACACAAGUAGUGCUCAUUAUACUCAUGUCAUCUAUUUGGCUUGUUUCCAUCCAUUGAACCUCCAUGAGGUUGGAUUGCCAACGUCGAUUUCUCUUAUGGGCUUAACCCCAUCCCUCCCGAUGAUUCAAGUACCAUAGUCCUUGAUAAUCCUUUUAUAAGCUGAUCGGCAAGGUUUCUCUCAAACUUGACAAAAUGUAAAGAAAUUACAUUAUAUUUAAGUUUUUGAC